AGUGAACGCUGGCGGUAGGCCUAACACAUGCAAGUCGAACGGCAGCACAGUAAGAGCUUGCUCUUACGGGUGGCGAGUGGCGGACGGGUGAGGAAUACAUCGGAAUCUACUUUUUCGUGGGGGAUAACGUAGGGAAACUUACGCUAAUACCGCAUACGACCUACGGGUGAAAGCAGGGGAUCUUCGGACCUUGCGCGAUUGAAUGAGCCAAUGUCGGAUUAGCUAGUUGGCGGGGUAAAGGCCCACCAAGGCGACGAUCCGUAGCUGGUCUGAGAGGAUGAUCAGCCACACUGGAACUGAGACACGGUCCAGACUCCUACGGGAGGCAGCGGUGGGGAAUAUUGGACAAUGGGCGCAAGCCUGAUCCAGCCAUACCGCGUGGGUGAAGAAGGCCUUCGGGUUGUAAAGCCCUUUUGUUGGGAAAGAAAAGCAGCAGGUUAAUACCCCGCUGUUCUGACGGUACCCAAAGAAUAAGCACCGGCUAACUUCGUG
rnacentral:rRNA from 1 species